GAUGAACGCUGGCGGCGUGCCUAAUACAUGCAAGUCGAGCGAACAGACGAGGAGCUUGCUCCUCUGACGUUAGCGGCGGACGGGUGAGUAACACGUGGAUAACCUACCUAUAAGACUGGGAUAACUUCGGGAAACCGGAGCUAAUACCGGAUAAUAUAUUGAACCGCAUGGUUCAAUAGUGAAAGACGGUUUUGCUGUCACUUAUAGAUGGAUCCGCGCCGCAUUAGCUAGUUGGUAAGGUAACGGCUUACCAAGGCAACGAUGCGUAGCCGACCUGAGAGGGGGGUCGGCCACACUGGAACUGCGAAACGGUCCAAACACCUACGGGAGGCAGCAGUAUGGAAUCUUCCGCAAUGGGCGAAAGCCUGACGGAGCAACGCCGCGUGAGUGAUGAAGGUCUUCGGAUCGUAAAACUCUGUUAUUAGGGAAGAACAAAUGUGUAAGUAACUAUGCACGUCUUGACGGUACCUAAUCAGAAAGCCACGGCUAACUACGUG
rnacentral:rRNA from 1 species